UCGUAAUCUUUAGUCUUUUCUAUUAUUCCUCCAUAAUCUGAAACUAAGCUCAAUUUUGUUAAAGAUUGUUUAUAUUAAAUUUCUGAUUUGGGUAUUUUUGCUAUUGAUCAAUAAUACCUUAGCGCUCAGUAUGUUAUUUAUAUUUAAUUAUUUUUUCAAAUUAUUAUUCAAGUAUCCGUGUGUAAGGGCUUAAUAGUCUUGGGUAGCUUCAUCGCCUAAUUGGGUUUGGGAUAGCGGUGGAGUCAGUCUUGCAGUUGAAGUUAAGCAAAAAUGGUAAAAAUGUUGAGGAAGAUAUGUGUUAGGUGUAAAAUUGGGAUAAGUUGUGAAGGCUCUUUGUAAAUAGGCUCUAAGUAUAGCCUGAAAUCCAAGUUGUCUAAGAAGGUAAGGACUUUCGGGUUAUGUGCAUCGGUUUUCGGACUUAGAUCCAAUAGAAUUAAAAUUAGAUUCUAAAAUCAGUAUUAAUUAUAUUCAUGAGUUGGAUUCAAAAAAUUGUGAAAUAAAGAUUAUUCCCUUAUAUAUUUUAAAUUUGUUAGUGAAUUGGGUGUUGGAUAAUAGACAUUAAUAAGUGCUUUUGAUAGAAAUGAAGACUGGGUUGCUUAACCUUCGCGAUUUGAUAAUAUUUGAGUAGUCUUUUGUUGGUUUAUAUUUUCUAUUUGUAUAUCAUUUGAUAACAGUAGCCUUUUAAUGUACCCGAUGUUUAGAAUUUAGAAUUUAGAACAUUCUAUACUAUCUUGAUAAAACCCUUCAAUCAUACCUUAUUGUUGUGUUUCUUGUCCUUAAUAGAUUCUCGUUAUAAACCCUAUUUAUUUCACGCAUGGAGACACUGGUCUUGGUCUAUUCCUGCUCACUACUUAUACUCACUCUCUCAUUUUCAUUUUCAGAUUCUCUCUUUUACCCUUCCACACACUUGUUACUCCUAAUACUCGCCACCACUCUUCUUCUCUAUCCUUCAUCCCUAAAUCUCCAACCAUGUCACUUAAGGCUGCUUCUGGUUCUAUACCAAGUGCAGAGAAAAGUAGUAGCUCUGAUGUUGAGGAGGUUGUCAAAUCUGAGACAUACAACAAUAACAUGACAGAAGCCAUGGGUGCUGGUAUGUUUUAUCAUAUUUUGGUUUUCAUUUGCUAAGAAAAAAUUGUAAUAUUUGUAUUCGGUAAUAAUUAAUUCGGACUUAUAGGCAUGAAUUAGGAAUGAACUACAACUUCAUUCUACCAGACUUGAUUGUCGGGUCAUGCUUGCAGGUUUUCUUUUUGCUUUCGUUAUGAUCCACUUCUGUCGAAUAUAUAGUUUGGUUUGAUCCUCUGACUUCUUUUUAAUUUUAUCUUAAACAGCCCGACUUCUGAAGAUGUUGAUAAGCUGCGUAAAAUCGGAGUGAAAACUAUAUUUUGAUUACAGCAAGACCCAGACCUAGAGUAUACUGAAUAUAUUUGUUUUAUAUGGUUCAUUUUCAGCAUUUGUGACGUGGUACACUGAUUUAAUCUAAAAAAUGACAUGGUCUUCAAUUAUUAGUAAUUGUAAAUAAAAACCAAAAUUUUCUCGGUUGAUAUGUGUAACUUAAAUAUAAUAAAAGUAAUUGCAAUUUAUAAAAUUGUUUUUUUCUA